rnacentral:SRP_RNA from 1 species
GCUGGGUGUGGUGGUGCAUGCCUGUAAUCCCAGCUACUCAGGAGGCUGAGGCAGGAGAAUUGCUUGAACCCAGGAGGUGGAGGUUGCAGUGAGCCAAGAUCAUGCCACUGUACUCCAGCCUGGGCGACAGAGUGAGACUCUGUCUCUU